AACGGCCGCGGUACUCUGACCGUGCNNNNCGNUNCAUAAUCAUUUGCCUUAUAAUUGAAGGCUAGUAUGAAUGGUUUGACAAGAAUAUAGCUGUCUCUUUAUAAUUUGAUAGAAUUUUAUUUUUAGGUGAAAAAGCCUUGAUUGAAUUAAAAGACAAGAAGACCCUAUCGAGCUUUAAGAAAGUUGAUGGACGUAAGUUUUUUGUUUAAAAAAGUAUGGCUGUCAAAUAUUUUGGUUGGGGCGACUGAGGAACAUAUAAAGCUUCCUUUUGUAGAAAUAAUUACUUACAUGUGUUUGAUCCUUAGUUAGUGAUUGAAGGAAUUAGUUACCGUAGGGAUAACAGCAUUAUCCUUUUUGAGAGUUCUAAUCGAAAAAGGGGUUUGUGACCUCGAUGUUGGACCAGAAUGUCCUAAAGGUGCAGAAGUCUUUAAGGGUUGGUCUGUUCGACCAUUAAAAUUCUA
rnacentral:rRNA from 1 species